rnacentral:lncRNA from 1 species
GUAAUAUAAGGUUGUCCUAAAAUCAAUGGAUAAGACGUUGUAUCUUGAACAAAGAAAUGUUGCUCCGUCGCAACAUCCCCAAUCCGAAUUUUGACAUCUGGACAAGCUCCAUAUAAUUUACCCUGUGUAUUAUUAGCUACUCGUAUUGUCCAUCCAUGUUCCAUAUCAAUUGGCCAGUUUUGCUUCUUAUAAGGAUCUUUAGACAUGAGAUUUAUUUCAGAACCAUGGUCGGCUAAAGCAACAAUUGGUUCAUCUAUAUCUCCUACUUUCACCAAUACCUCAGUAGUUGCCCUUGCCCAAUACUUUUGAGUAUAAUGGC